AACAGAAACACAUAAAUCUAGCACACUAGCUAGUUGAAUGAUACAGAUCAUGAUCUAGCAUACUUAUUCAAAGCUCCUCAUGCUCAAACAAAUUCAGGGACUGGUGGGGGUUGGUUGGGUAUUCCCAGCACCAUUGCCUGGGAUUGGAACCUCAUAACCCGGGUUUGGGACGAAUGUAUCGUCGCCACCGGGAACAUAGUCAUGACCAGUACUUGGCGUUUGUCCACUUCCACUUCCACCGGUGCUGCCAGUCCUGCCGUUGUUGGGGAAUGGAGUCUGAGGUACAACAUUAUGCCGUGGUGGGAUUAACACACGCCCAAGGCCUGGAAUGAGAUAGCUGCCAUCAUGGCCAAUAAACCACUCAGGUUGUUUCUUGUCAUCUUUGGUUGGGACACUUCGUC
rnacentral:lncRNA from 1 species